GAAAACCCGCACACGCGACCUCCCAUCUUCUCCAGCCCCACGCCCCAUCCCCUCCAUGCAUCUCCGCCGCCGCCGCCCCCCAUAUCCACCGCAUGAGGGCUCGCCCGUCCGCGCCGGCGACGCGCCUCCACCAUCCAAUCAUCCCAUCCUGGCUCUUCCGGCGUCCGACAUCGGCCGCGUCUACUCGUCCACCGCUCCAGCGUCUCCCGUGAUCGUCUACUACUGGCUUGCGGCGACGGCAGUAGUAGACGAUCACGGGAGACGAUCACAGUAGGAAACACACACAACGCCACCAUAGCCGAGUUGUAUGGAACGCCUCAAGUCUCUGCUCCACCAACGUCGCCUAUUUGAGCUUUGUAGAUUCAUUUUUAUAUUUGCCUAGAAGAUGUUCCAUGAAAAUCACAGAAGCACCGGCUGCACCGCACCGGGUUUAGGCUCGUCAAGAAGGUUGUGGCUGGAAGAUAGUGGUAAUCAACUUUAUAUACUACCCCUCCUGCAAGUUUACCCAUGUCUUUUAUUUUUGUUUAUGCGAUUAAUUAUUCAUUCCUCUUAGUUGUUCAUAUAUUCUGACGACGACUCAUGUCGAUAUGUGCUUGCUUCGCAAUGAAACUCUCCUCAUGACUUUAGCAACAAGAAAGGCCAACUAGAAUACUUGUUCUCCGUGUAAUUUUGACGCUGGCUUUGUCGCAAGUUGGAAAUUCAGGGUGCCGAUCCGCAGGCGUUUGUCGGUUUAGUGUCCAAGGUUUUUUGGCCCAAAGAUGAUGAUUGGUACAAGGGUUCCAUCACGGCCUACACGGAACUAACCAAUAAUUCUGUGAAGUAUGAAGACCUUACCCUAGAUAAUGAAAUGAUAAAUUUUUCAUUUCAUCUGAGGAAAUGAAGUGCCUGAACCUGAAAUUUGGAUCAUCUAACCUGGAUAUAAGAAGGGAUACGACGAGCUACUUGCACUUGCUGUCAGCUUUCAUGACUACCAAGGUCUUGAUCGAGAUAAUAUAGCAUGGGCUAAAAUAACAGGUCAUGCAGUGUGGCCAGUUGUUAUAGUGGACGAGUCAAAUGUUCAUGCUAGCCGGGCCCUGAAGUCAAUUCGGUUUGAUCAAUCAAUACUUGUUCAAUUCUUUGGCACCCAUGAUUUUGCAAGGAUUAAGUAGAAGCAGGCGGUGCCCUUUCUGAAUGGCCUUCUUUCUUCCUUGCAUCUCAAAUGCAAGAAAACACGCUUCUCCCGAGGCUUAGAAAAAGCCAAGGAGUAUGAGUCGAGAACCUCUUAUAUAUUUUUAAGCAAUAAUUGUUUUUUUCCUGAAUACACAUCAGACUUGAGAGAUUUUCUGUUAUCUUGCAUGAUGCCCUAUUGGUAUGAUACUACAAAAUAUCGAUUGUAUAGGUUUCUCCUCACACAAAAGCUUCCAGAAAAUAUGUUGCAACUUUGGAAAUCCAUUCAAAAUGAUGGUUCUGAUGAUAAUGGCCAAGAUGACGCGAUAGGAUCUUGUAAUAAUUUAUCAGAAGAAAAUGGAGAGGAUGCUGAAAUGACUCAGAUAGAACUAGGAAAUCUUCGUGUGAGCAACCUAGGUAUGUUUGAGCAAAUAGCACAGUAGCUCCCCCCUCUAAAUAGAGUAACCAGCGUUUAAAGAUGCAAAAAAUGCACUGGAAGCAUGUCCAUCCUACCCAUUUCAAGGAUGCCCUGUUUCUCACUUGAAUCUUGGACUGCCCUUUUGAGCUACAAUGUUGCCGCUUUAUGCAAGUUUUCCUUGGUGGGAGACACAAGCAGACUUGGCACUUCUGGAUAGUGGAGUUAUAUCUGUUCCAGAGGUAUGGACAUAUGUUAUAUGUUCAAUUAUGAUGCAGUUCAUAUUGCACUAUCGCCAAUAAUCCAAAACACUGAUCUGUUUUAGUUUGUUCUUCCUACCCAUAACCCUUUACAAGAAAUAAUUGAUUUCCAUUUACUCCCUCCAUUCCAAUUUAUGUUGUGUCUUCAUAUUUUGUCAUUUAACUUUAUGUGCCAUAAAAUUAUACCAUUGAAACUCCAUUUUGAUUGUGCUUAAUGUAGGCAUAGAAGGUUUCCAUCAGAGAAAUCAUUCUGAACAUUACUUAAGAUGACAGUCUAUGCCUUAGAGCAUAUAUGGAGCUCUUAUUUGGCACAUACAUCUUCUGUUCAUGUUGUUGUAUAUCUUCUGCUGACCCCUUUUCUUGGUGCUGGCUGAGCUUUGCAUGUUUAUGUUUAUAUAUGCAUCUGCAUUUCCUCCUUUAUUCAUUCUUCUUAGUGUAUAACAAACCUGAUUGUGUGAGUUUCUUUCCUGGCAGGAUAGUAUCUGAUUCAGACCAUUUCCAUAACAAAAUGCACAUAUGGCCUGAAGAGUAUGCUGCUUUCAGGAAGUUCGCAUCGGUAAAAGGUAUUUAUUCAGCUCCAAACUGUCAUCAAGCCUGCAUGAAAUUUGGUGUUCCAUUUUGGAACAGUUUACUCUCAUGAGUGGGUUUGUGCUGCUGUUACUGCAGUCCCUUGUCCCGAUGGAAGACUUGGCUUCUUCAGUGAGCAUGCUCCAAUACUACACUAUCAUUCAACCUAGUGUGAGGUUAACGUUGCAUUGUUUUACUAGCUGAAGCUGGGGAAUUUCGGGCUUUGUUUGGUGGUGUUGCUCCUCUUUCGAGGAAGAUACAUUUAGAGGAGACUCGGGAAGACAUGAAAGCUGCGACCAAAUUGCAAUGGUAAUUGAUUAACAUUAAAUGUCCAAAGCGCAAUAUCAUCAGUAGUCAAUAAGAGUAAUUUGCUAUCAACAUUAAUUCAUCCAUGACUAUGAGAUAUAUUAACUCUUGAAAAUGUUGAACUGGGUAGCAUUUUUUGUGACUUAUCAGUUUUGAAGGAAAGCUAGAGACUAUUGAUUUUAAAUCGUCGACACAUGAUUUGCUUUAUACAAACGAUGUUUGGGUGCAUUUCACUUUGAGAGUUGUUGCCAGUUUUUGAAUAUGAAUAUUCUCACUUGCUAGCACAUAUUAUAACAUGUCAAGUUGAUUCCUAUCAGUCAAAUAUAAUCUUGUAGAGAAGUAUGAUAAUAUUCUAGAGCAAUCUGGGUGCAUGAACUAAUACAUGUUCCUGCGAAAUGUUUACUUGUUUCUGUCUGGGAAAGAAAAAAUUAAUACAUUAUAUAUUCAGAUGAUUUUAGAAGAAGUACCACCUUGGUGAAAUAUCAUAUAACAUUCUCUAGAAACAUUUUCCUAAUCCUACAAUCAAAGCAUGCUAAUGGUUUAUAUUUUGUGCUGCUGCAUCCUUAGUAUCCUUUACUUUUGACCACAUAUUGCUCAAUGAUGGUACCCGAACAAAAUCACAUGUUAUGAAAAUGAUCGAGGGAUACGAAACUGUACCGUUCAAGUCAAAAUAUAAUGAGUGGCCACCAACUCCUGAUUUGAAAUUGUCGUCUGAGGAUGGAAGAGGCAAAGUUGCAGGUUGCUAUCUACAAAUUAUAAUGCUUGGUACUAUGGAUUGCUAGAAGGUUCAUAUCACAUAUAUUUACAUUUUCUGACACUGGCAUUUUUCAUCACAGUAUUAGGAUGAAAUGGACUUUCCAUUCGCCAAAAAAGAAAAGAGAACAAAUGAAAUUGGCUUGCAGAUUCAGUUUUCAUUUGCACGUUAUCAAAGUUAAUACUUGUUAAAAUAGGUCAGCUUGGAAUGAUAUGUGUUUCUGUAGUCUCUCUAUUGCUUAUGGUUUUGAAGUACAUAUCUAGCUAUUUUUGAACAUACAUGAGUGACAAUAAGGUUCUCCCUCCGUUCCUAAAUAUAAGUCUUUGUAGAGAUUGCACCAUGAACCACAUACUGAUGUAUAUAGAUGCAUUUUAGAGUGUAGAUUCACUCAUUUUGCUCCGUAUGUGGUCCAUAGUGAAAUCUCUAUAAAGACUUAUACUUAGGAACGGAGGGAGUAUAUAGCUUUCCUUGGUCAUCAUGGAGCAUAACCAUUGUACAAUUAUCAAUGUAUGAAAAAAGGGCAGCCUGGUGCAUGUAGCUCCCGCUUCUGCAGGGUCCGGGGAAGAGUCCGACCACUUUGGGUCUAUAGUACGCAGCCUUUCCCUACAUUUCUGUAAGAGGCUGUUUUGAGGACUUGAACUCGUGACCUCAUGGUCACAAGGCAGCAGCUGUGAACUGUAGAGUUGGUUUCAUGCUUUCAUAAGAUACUGAAAUUAGAGCUUCAGCUUAUAUUUGGUGAGCAGACACUUUUUGAAAAUCGACAGCUGAAGGUAUAAAUGCCCUUGGUCCACGGUUGUGAUUUUCUUCAAGCUCAGUACAGAAGUUUCUUAUGUGUUUUUGGUUCACCUUCGCCCGUCCUGACAUUCAUCACAAUAAAAUAUUUUACUUACAGUUGUAUACAUUGUUAGUCUGUUUUUUUGUUCGUUUCAGAAGCUUCAAAUAUUAUGGUUAGCGGUGUACUGGUGUAGAAUCCUCGAAGUUUUCAAGUAUUUUAGUCUCCCUUUUUUGCAGUAUUAGAAUGUCUUAUGGUGCAUUUUCUUCUGCAAUCUAAUAUAUGGAACUGAUCUAUUGCUCUUUUGGACUGACUGUCUUAACGCUGAAGUAAGAAUCUUAUCAUACAGAGACGUUUUCUUUAUUUAAGAUAAGGAUACACUCUUGCAUGUAAAAUCUGGAUAGAUUCCCUGCCCUGAGUAUGUUGUUUCGUAUCCUUUAAUUAAGACUUUCGCAGUUAAUAAAUAUAUGAUGCUUAACUAUGAUCUCUUGUCAUCAGGCAAUUUUUUUGUGCACAAUAAUAAUCAUAUCAGUAAAUGGUACUCCCUCUGAUCCAAUAAAAGCAUUGUGGCUUUAGUUCAAAUUUGAACUAAUGCUGAACUAAAGCCAUGACACUUUCAUUGGAUCGGAGGUAGAAUGUUAUUUUAUUCUUACUCUCACCUUCCAUGUGCAUGCUAGGUAUCUUGCCAUUCAGGUCCAGCGAAUCACUAGGUAAUUAUACGUUGUUCUGGGUUAGAUCAACUUGUUCCUGGGUGUCUGAAAGGGAAAGGGCAGAACUGGUGGGGAGUACAGCCGACUAAAAUCCAUGUAGCAUUUGUGUUGGGUACAUCAAGAUGAAGAUCAAGAGAAUUCCGGUGAAAGGCAUCAUGCUGAUUUUGAUGUCGAAAUGGAUGAUGCCAAGCCUCUAGAGGACUCUGAAAGUUUUCUUUUUUGUUUGGUUCCUUAUUUGUGGCCUCAUGAGGCCCCUUUCUUCAGUCAAACUGAAUCACUUCAUGUUAGCUUGUCUUCACUUUUGGAUUAACUAUAAUGCAUCGUCUCACUCGUUUAUGCUCCAUGGGUGAGUGGUACAUA